rnacentral:rRNA from 1 species
UAAGGAAUAUUGGUCAAUGGGCGAAAGCCUGAACCAGCCAUCCCGCGUGAAGGAUGAAUGCCCUAUGGGUUGUAAACUUCUUUUGUUUGGAAAGAAACGCCUGGAUUUAUCCGGGCCUGACGGUACCUUACGA